GAUGAACGCUGGCGGCGUGCCUAAUACAUGCCAGUCGAGCGAACGGACGAGAAGCUUGCUUCUCUGAUGUUAGCGGCGGACGGGUGAGUAACACGUGGAUAACCUACCUAUAAGACUGGGAUAACUUCGGGAAACCGGAGCUAAUACCGGAUAAUAUUUUGAACCGCAUGGUUCAAAAGUGAAAGACGGUCUUGCUGUCACUUAUAGAUGGAUCCGCGCUGCAUUAGCUAGUUGGUAAGGUAACGGCUUACCAAGGCAACGAUGCAUAGCCGACCUGAGAGGGUGAUCGGCCACACUGGAACUGAGACACGGUCCAGACUCCUACGGGAGGCAGCAGUAGGGAAUCUUCCGCAAUGGGCGAAAGCCUGACGGAGCAACGCCGCGUGAGUGAUGAAGGUCUUCGGAUCGUAAAACUCUGUUAUUAGGGAAGAACAUAUGUGUAAGUAACUGUGCACAUCUUGACGGUACCUAAUCAGAAAGCCGCGGCUAACUACGUG
rnacentral:rRNA from 1 species